UGACGGGUAGCAAAGUUGGUAAUGCGCUCGGCUGUUAACCGAGUUAUGCGGGGGUUCGAUUCCCUCCCCGUCAGCCA
rnacentral:tRNA from 1 species